UUCAUCUGCGGAGAGUGGAGGUUAUCAGUAUGUGUUCAUGUCUAUUUACUCUAGAGGAGGCUGGAAAACUUUGUUAAAGGAGGCCAAUAUGAGUCGCUGAGUCAUGUGUGAAGCUCACUUCUGUCUGAAGACAGCGAUACUGAGGUUCCUCACUGCUUUAUCCAUUUUGUGAUGUGAGUAUUUGGACCUUGAGGUGGCUAUUAUGUCGGAUCAAACAAAUGGAUAUCCCUGCUAUACUUGUACAGUUCUUCAAGACAUUUGGCAGCACUUUGUAGCUAUCACCCACUUGUCCUGCUCUGACGGAUGCAUCGGAAGAAAUUUAGAGUACCAAUUUCAUCUGGGAUCCGACCACCAGGUAGUCUCCCAACCCACAACAAACUCCACCUCCUGACCCACAGUCUUCCUUGGAUUUCGUUGCUCACUGUGCCUUUUUGGCCUCAUGUAAUCUCAGAGUGACUCCAUGUUUUUGUUCGCAGGGCUCUAGUAGAACUUGUUCUAGAUCUCGUUGUUCUU